rnacentral:rRNA from 1 species
ACGAGUGGCGCACGGGUGAGUAAUAUAUAGGUAACGUGCCUCUUAGUCUGGGAUACCCAUUGGAAACGAUGAUUAAUACUAGAUACUCCUUCUCAUUAUAAUUUGAGUCGGGAAAGUUUUUCGCUAAGAGAUCGGCCUAUAUCCCAUCAGUUAGUUGGUAAGGUAACGGCUUACCAAGGCAAUGACGGGUAGCGGGUUUGAGAGGAUGAUCCGCCACACUGGUACUGAGACACGGACCAGACUCCUACGGGAGGCAGCAGUGAGGAAUAUUGCACAAUGGAGGAAACUCUGAUGCAGCAACGCCGCGCGCAGGAUGACGCAUUUCGGUGUGUAAACUCCUUUUAUAAGGGAAGAAAAUGACGGUACCUUAUGAAUACCCCCCGGCUAACUCCGUGCCAGCAGCCGCGGUAAUACGGAGGGUGCAAGCGUUACUCGGAAUCACUGGGCGUAAAGGACACGUAGGCGGGUUGUCAAGUCAGGUGUGAAAUCCUACAGCUUAACUGUAGAACUGCACUUGAAACUGGCAACCUAGAGUAUGGGAGGGGGAGAUGGAAUUAGUGGUGUAGGGGUAAAAUCCGUAGAUAUCACUAGGAAUACCGAAAGCGAAGGCGAUCUCCUGGAACAUUACUGACGCUAAGGUGUGAAAGCGUGGGGAGCAAACGGGAUUAGAUACCCCCCGGUAGUCCCACGCCCUAAACGAUGAACACUAGUCGUCGGGAUGCU